UCUGUCCAUGUGGGUGAAAUCUACCAUCACUGACCAUCUGUUCUUUUCAGAGAAUUCUCUUGAAUUUAUCAUCAUCUUGCUCUGUCGCACGUCAGCUGGGGACUGCCCAAGAGACACCACCGUUCUCUUUUUUUUCUGUUUCCCUUUGGGUUGUAAAGCCUCCAAGGAUAUUAUACUUCCAAGAAAUCAGCUAUGCUUAGCUGAUGGACAGGCUUAAGUGAGGACUGUCUUAGAAGGUUGCUUGCUUAGCACAACAAAGCCACAGCACUGGAUGGUGUGCACUAUCAUCAAAUGGGAGUUUCUACUUUGCUUUAUAACCCUGCUCAUAUUAAGAUUCUGUGGAGAAAACUAAAACAUACGGCAAUCCUCGAAUGCCACCUUGAUAUGCUGCCAACCAUGUAUACCUAAGACGUCUGCUGGGCUACAUGGAGCCAGAAGAGUAAGCCUGGAAAAACACAAAGCUGGGAAUACAAUUCAUCCAAACUCUGCUCGGUAUAAUUUAUAAGGGACAUGAGAAGGAUGUUAGUUUUAAUAUGUUCAGCAUUGGGUCACAUACCAGCCAUUUGCCGCAGCAAGCAGCGUGUUUCAAUUUCACUUGUCUAGACAGAGUUUUGGGUUGUCCCGUUCUGGCAGGCAAUGUGAGAUUUCAUACCUUGAUCUUAUCAUUCUAUGUUGAAUUUACUUCAGAGAGAACACCUGCAGCCUGAAAGUGUGGAUUCAGUGAGAGCUGCAAAUGCAGAGCACCUCUGAGGAUGUAGACCUCUGUCCUUGACAGGGGCUGCUAGCAGCAGUCCUUGCCUGAUGUAUUGUGUUUUUGCAAUAUCUCAAUGGAUUUCAAUGAUUUUGAACAGUGGUUUUCCAGCAGAGGCUUCCAGGUAACUCCUGGGUUGACUGCUAAAGACCACCCUUGCAUUUUUUUGCUACCUUCUGUGGAACAUGAGUGGAAAACAUCGGCUCGAAUUUGCCAGGAAAUUCACUGAAGAACACCAUAUCCCUUACAUAUCGUCCUCCCACUGGCGAGCAGCUCUCAGAGACGACAAUUACGGUAGACUUAAAGCAGUGGUUUGAACAGCUGGCUGGUUUGUGCAGACUUUCACCAAAAUAGUCACACUGGUUGCGGUUCUCGCUGAUCGAAGUGUUGAUGCAGAUGAAUGUAUGUGCAUAAUUCCAGUAUUGAUACUAUUAUUGUUUGUAGCAAAACAGUGCCUUGGGUCAAACAACAGGUCUUCCUUGUACCAGGCACCCCAGGAACUCCUAGAAACUGACAGUUCCUGUGCUAAAAGGCUUACAGAUAAACAAAGCUUCCUUUUUAAAUUGUUUGCAAGUCUUCUUUAUAUGAUUAUUAUUUUUAUUGCAGAUCCAUGCAUAUUUACAGGUAUGAGUAGAUCUGGAUUUGGCUUUACUUCAGUGUAAAUGCCUGUGUCGCUUAUCCCCAGCAGUCUAUGGUACACAAAGCUCUGUGGGAACCGCCUGUAAACUUUGGUGC